rnacentral:rRNA from 1 species
AAUGAACGUUGGCGGCGUGGAUUGGGCAUGCAAGUCGAGCGAGGAAACGUGUAGCAAUACGUGUUAUUCGAGCGGCGUAAGGGGCAGUAAUACCUGGGAACGUACCCUCUGGUCGGGGAUAGCUGCUGGAAACGGCGAGUAAUACCCGAUGAUCUUGAGAAAGCAAAGGCUUGCCGCCGGAGGAGCGGCCCAGGCGAUAUUAGCUAGUUGGUGAGGUAACGGCUUACCAAGGCUUAGAUGUCUAGCGGGUGUGAGAGCACGACCCGCGCCACUGGCACUGAGACACUGGCCAGACACCUACGGGUGGCUGCAGUCGAGAAUCUUCGGCAAUGAGCGCAAGCUUGACCGAGCGACGCCGCGUGCGGGAUGAAGGCCUUCGGGUUGUAAACCGCUUUGGUCCGAGAGAAAGGGCAACUUGAUCGAUCGGAGAAACAAGGACGGGCUAAGUUCGUGC